UACGAAGGGUGCAAGCGUUAAUCGGAAUUACUGGGCGUAAAGCGCGCGUAGGCGGCCUUGCAAGUUAGAGGUGAAAGCCCGGAGCUCAACUCCGGAACUGCCUUUAAAACUGCAUAGCUUGAAUCCGGGAGAGGUGAGUGGAAUUCCGAGUGUAGAGGUGAAAUUCGUAGAUAUUCGGAAGAACACCAGUGGCGAAGGCGGCUCACUGGACCGGUAUUGACGCUGAGGUGCGAAAAGCGUGGGGAGCAAACAGG
rnacentral:rRNA from 1 species